GACAGAGGGUGCAAACGUUGUUCGGAAUUACUGGGCGUAAAGCGCGUGUAGGCGGCUAAGUAAGUCGGGCGUGAAAUCCCACGGCUCAACCGUGGAAGUGCACUCGAAACUGCAUAGCUAGAGUCCUGGAGAGGAAGGUGGAAUGCUUGGUGUAGAGGUGAAAUUCGUAGAUAUCAAGCGGAACACCGGUGGCGAAGGCGGCCUUCUGGACAGUGACUGACACUGAGACGCGAAAGCGUGGGGAGCAAACAGG
rnacentral:rRNA from 1 species